ACGGGUGAGUAAUACAUCGGAACGUAUCCUGGAGAGGGGGAUAGCCCGGCGAAAGCCGGAUUAAUACCGCAUACGCUCUGAGGAGGAAAGCGGGGGACCUUCGGGCCUCGCGCUCAAGGGGCGGCCGAUGGCGGAUUAGGUAGUUGGUGGGGUAAAGGCCUACCAAGCCGACGAUCCGUAGCUGGUCUGAGAGGACGACCAGCCACACUGGGACUGAGACACGGCCCAGACUCCUACGGGAGGCAGCAGUGGGGAAUUUUGGACAAUGGGGGCAACCCUGAUCCAGCAAUGCCGCGUGUGUGAAGAAGGCCUUCGGGUUGUAAAGCACUUUUGUCCGGAAAGAAAUCAUCGGGGCCAAUACCCCUGGUGGAUGACGGUACCGGAAGAAUAAGCACCGGCUAACUACGUGCCAGCAGCCGCGGUAAUACGUAGGGUGCGAGCGUUAAUCGGAAUUACUGGGCGUAAAGCGUGCGCAGGCGGUGCUGUAAGACCGAUGUGAAAUCCCCGGGCUUAACCUGGGAACUGCAUUGGUGACUGCAGCGCUGGAGUAUGGCAGAGGGGGGUGGAAUUCCACGU
rnacentral:rRNA from 1 species